AACUUUAAGCAGUAAUUACACCCACAAUAUAACAGCUAAUUAAAGUUGUGACCAAAGUGCAGCCAGGGCUCCAGCUGCUGAGAGCAGUGUGACGUUAAGUGCUACCAGCUGUGGCCAAUUACAGGCCCUCCAAGUAGGAAAGAAAAGGAGUAAUUAAAGCAGUUUGGUAAAAUGUAUCUGGUAUGGUGUUGCUGGCUUUUGCCUACUGCAGUAACACAUAGGGCAUUGUCUUACCUUGUAAUGCAAUAUUCCGUUUCGUUUCUGUUUAUUUGCUUUUUGGUGGUGUGUUUGGACCAUGUGUUUCAACAAUUUUAAUCUGUGGCAAAGAAGCAUCACCCACGUUGCUUGUGAUCACCAUCCUACUGCACGACUGGUACUGACAUCGUGCUCCAGAGGAUGCCCUUCAAGAUUCUUCAAGGCUCUUCUCAUUUAAGCGUGUUUCAAAGCAGGUCCUAAAGGAACUAGCCUGCUGCUGAAAAGAUACUGCCACAAUACUGCAUCUGAGUGAGAGGCAUUGAUUUCUGCACGGCGCAUGGAGUACUCUGGGCCUUUCUGUGGUCAAUAUAUCACCCUGAUCUCUAGGGACAUUUAUAGACAGCACACAGCCUAUUUAUUCAGCAUGAUGUCUUACCACUGAGAUUUCUCUUCUAUGAUACGCUUGCACUGCUUUUUUCCCACAAAAAGUAUAAGCUAUCUUUUCCUUUUUUGUAUAUUAUAAGCUUAAAAUAAAUCUAAUUCUACUUGCAUGAAGUAUUAAGUCAACUGCUCGUUUCCUCUCAGCCUUUAUUGGAAGCCUGCAUUCCUGUUAUCUAGGUGGUGAAAGAUAUAGCAAAGCCCUUGUGCUUGUGGGGAGAGCUCUGUGUCUCUGCAUGGCUGUAUGGGAGUACUGAAGAAGAUGGCAGGGAAAGGCAUUGCUGCACCAGUAGUCAUAGAAUCAAAAAAUCACCAAGGUUGAAAAAGAUCUCCAAGGUCAUCUAGUCUGAUUGUGCACCUACUACCAAUGUUUCCCCACGAAACCAUGUCCCUUAGUACAACAGUAGGUGCUGGGUGUGCUGGUUCAUGGGUGUUGUGCACUGAGCAGGUGUCUUCCCAGAAGGCUGCAAGAACGAUGGCCUGCAGCAAAUGUUUCCUUUGGAAGCAUCUCCUCCAGAUUCACAUCAUUGAUGGAGAGCUAUCAGAGGAGAUCACAAUGGCUUUGUCCUCUUGGCACUAUCCCGCUCUCUCUAACUGCUACUGAUUUGCAGAUGAAAUCCGUGAUC